GGUGAACGCUGGGCGGCGUGCCUAACACAUGCAAGUCGAUCGGAGCAGCAAUGCUUAGAGGCGAACGGGUGAGGAAAACGUAGUAACCAACCCUUUAGACUGGGAUAGCCACUGGAAACGGUGGGUAAUACCGGAUAAGCUCGAGAGAGGAAAGGCAGAGAAGCGCUAAAGGACGGAACUGCGCCCAUCAGAUAGUUGGUGAGGUAAAGGCUUACCAAGUCAAAGACGGGAAACCGACGUGAGAGCGUGUACGGUCACAAGGGCACUGAGAGACGGGCCCUACUCCUACGGGAGGCAGCAGGUGGGGAAUAUUGGACAAUGGACGAAAGUCUGAUCCAGCGACGCCGCGUGGAGGAAGAAGUCCUUCGGGAUGUAAACUCAUGAAGCUAACGAAUAAGACGGAAGGGGAACCUUCCGGGAGAAGGUAAUUAGUGAAAAGCCCCGGCUAACUACGUG
rnacentral:rRNA from 1 species